UAAUACCAGCAGCUCAAGUUGCAACCGCAUUUAUUGGGUCUAAAGCGUUCGUAGCUGAUUUAGCAAGUUUUUUGUGAAAUCAUUAAGCUUAACCUAAUGGCGUGCAAGAAAUACUGCUAAAUUAGAGACUGGGAGACGUAGCGAGUACGGCAAGUGUAGUAGUAAAAUACUCUAAUCCUUGCUGGACUAACGAUGGCGAAGGCACGCUACGAGAACAGAUCUGACAGUGAGGAACGAAGGCUAGGGGCGCAAAGAGGAUUAGAUACCCUCGUAGUCCUAGCUGUAAACGCUGCCCACUAAACCUUGUGCUCUCUUCGAGAGAGUGCUGGGCUGAAGCGAAGGCGUUAAGUGGGCCACCUGGGGAGUAUAGUCGCAAGGCUG
rnacentral:rRNA from 1 species